rnacentral:piRNA from 1 species
UACUUUGCAGAACUAUGGUGAGCCGGUCC